AUUGAACGCUGGCGGCAGGCCUAACACAUGCAAGUCGAGCGGCAGCGGGAAAGUAGCUUGCUACUUCUGCCGGCGAGCGGCGGACGGGUGAGUAAUGCCUGGGAAAUUGCCCAGUCGAGGGGGAUAACAGUUGGAAACGACUGCUAAUACCGCAUACGCCCUACGGGGGAAAGCAGGGGACCUUCGGGCCUUGCGCGAUUGGAUAUGCCCAGGUGGGAUUAGCUAGUUGGUGAGGUAAUGGCUCACCAAGGCGACGAUCCCUAGCUGGUCUGAGAGGAUUAGCAGCCACACUGGAACUGAGACACGGUCCAGACUCCUACGGGAGGCAGCAGUGGGGAAUAUUGCACAAUGGGGGAAACCCUGAUGCAGCCAUGCCGCGUGUGUGAAGAAGGCCUUCGGGUUGUAAAGCACUUUCAGCGAGGAGGAAAGGUCAGUAGCUAAUACCUGCUGGCUGUGACGUUACUCGCAGAAGAAGCACCGGCUAACUCCGUGCCAGCCGCCGCUGUAAGAC
rnacentral:rRNA from 1 species